rnacentral:lncRNA from 1 species
UCCUGUCCCAGGCUGUGCUCCUGGCGGACAUCCUCCCCACACUCGUCAUCAAAUUGUUGGCUCCUCUUGGCCUUCACCUGCUGCCCUACACCCCCGGGUUCUCGUCAGUGGGAUUUGUGCUGCUGGAAGCUUCGUCCUGGUUGCCUUUUCUCAUUCUGUGGGGACCAGCCUGUGUCUAUUUCUUGUUGCUCACAUCUCCUGAGGCCCAGGACCCUGGAGGGGAAGAAGAAGCAGAGAGCGCAGCCCGGCAGCCCCUCAUAAGAACCGAGGCCCCGGAGUCGAAGCCAGCUCCAGCUCCAGCCUCUCCCUUCGGGAAAGGUGGACAGUGUUCAAGGUUCGGAUGAUGGCUGGGGUAUG